rnacentral:rRNA from 1 species
CUGUUCAUAAUUUGGGACUAGUAAAGCCAGUGGUGACUUUGCAUGCCCUGGGAGACAGUAGUCCGUCCCCAGGGUAUGGAGUCUAUGUUUGGAGGUCGCUACGACACCCCUGGGUUAUGGCACGGAGGGUGCUGUGUAACCCACAUCAAAAACACAUGAGACCCUAUGGAGUAAAAGACCCCAUAGCCGAUAAAACACAAGGAAAGACAAAGGAACACCUCAAAUCAUGUCUAAGAGUGGAAGUAAAAUAGUCUCACUCUUAGCAGGAGAAAAAAUAAACCCCAAAAAUCCAGCAAAGCUGCUGGGGGACUCACUAGGUUUGGGAAAUUAGCCUUUACAGAGAAUUCUCCCUAACAGCCACUGCGCCCUUCUCCAGCAACCGUCCCGGCCCCUCUUGGGGGUUGCCGGGGGCAAGAUGUGAGACAGGGCUCCCGAUGUGACUGUGGUGGACUGCCCUCAGUGCGCCCCAACCAUGUCGCGCCGUCGGGUGGGGAGGCCCAUGAAGGGCGCCAGGCGUCUAAGGUAAUGUUGGUACCCACUCGACCCGUCUUGUGGAAGUUAUGGACUCGGAAACAGUGUCACUGGGGCCGGGACUUAAGGCACAGGGUGUACCACCGGCCCGCCUGCUCUGUCAGGGAGGUGGAGCAUGAGCUUGUGUUAUAGGACCCAAAAGAUGGUGUACUAGGCCUGGGCAGGGCAAAGCCAGAGGAAACUGUGGUGGAGGUCCGAAGUGAUCCUCACAUGGAAAUCAGUCGUCCGACCUGGUUAUAGGGGCGAAAGACUAAUCAGACCAUCUAGUAGCUGGUUCCCUCUGAAAUUUCCCUCAGGAUAGCUGGCACACUGAAACCCCAGUUUUAUCUGGUAAGCAAAUGAUUAGAGGUCUUGGGGCCGAAAUGAUCUCAACCUAUUCUCAAACUUUAAAUGGGUAAGAAACCUGGCUCACUGGUGUGGAGCCGUGCAUUGAAUGCAAGUACUCAGUGGACCACUUUUGGAAAGCAGAACUGGCGCUGUGGGAUGAGCCAACGCUGGGUUAAGACGCCUGAGGGCGACGCUCUUCUGACCCCAUCAAAGGUGUUGGUUGAUAUAGACAGCAGGGCGAUGGCCAUGUAAGUCGGAAUCUGCUGAGGCCGGCGCCCAGAGCCGCGGGGCUAAGCCAUGACGAGUAGGAGGGCGACUGCGGUGCACAUGGAAGCCCCAGGCGAGGGCCCAGGAUGGGCCGCUGAAGGUGCAGAUCUUGGUGGUAGUAGCAGACAUUAAAACGAGAACUUUGAAGGCCGAAGUGGAGCAGGGUUCCAUGUGAACAGCAGUUGUACAGGGGUCAGUCGGAACUAAAAAAUUGUUGAGCUCCGUUCUGAAGGGACGGGCUAUGGUCUUGGUUGCCCUUAGCCGAUCGAGGGAGAGUCAGGUUCAGAUCCCCAAAUCCAAAGUGGGGAGACAGGUUGCGUCCAGUGUGGUAACGCAAACGAUCCCAGAGAAGCUGGUGGGAUAGUUGUGUUCUGUUUUCUUUGUGAAGGGCAGGCUUGCUUGUCCUUGAAAAUCCGGGGGAAAUUGUGUGAAUCUCACGCCGGACCAUACCCAUAUCCAAAGCAGUUCUCCUAGGUGAACAGCCUCUGGCAUGUUGGAACAAUGUAGGUAAGGGAAAUCGCUAGUCGGAUCUGUAACUUCGGGAAGUGCUGGGUUGGUCAGGCUGGGAUUCGAAGUGGGGCUGGCCGUGCUCCGUGGCUGGACGAGGCGUCUCCCCAUCACGGGCAGUGCCGUCUCUGGAUGUGAGCCGGGCCCUUCCUGUGGAUCACCACAGCUGCGGUUGUCGGUUCUCUCCAUUCCCCUCCCGGGGUUGGGGCUGGUGUUCUGCCUCAGCCGACGCCUAGCAGCUGACUUAGAACUGGUGCGGACCAUGGGAAUCCGACUGUUAACAAAGCAUUGCGUAAACAAAGUAUUGCGUAAGGACCAGGGUGGGUGUUGACACAAUGUGAUUUCUGCCCAGUGCUCUGGAUGUCAAAGUGAAGAAAUUCAAUGAAGCGCGGGUAAAUGGCAAGAGUAGCUAUGAUUCUCUUAAGGUAGCCAAAUGCCUCGUCAUCUAAUUAGUGACGCGCAUGAAUGGAUGAAGGAGAUUCCUACUGUCCGUACCUACUAUCUACCGAAACCACAGCCAAGGGAACUUGUUUGGCUGAGGAGAUUCACUGUAGUCUGGCACUGUGAAGAGACAUGAGAGAUGUAGGGUAAGUGGGAGGCCCUCCGGCUGCUGGUGAAAUACCACUACUCAUCAUUUUUUCACUUGACCAGUCAGGUUGGGUCCCAGUCAAACUCCCCGCGGCCAUCUCUAGGGACAGUGGCUGGUGGGGAGGUUGACUGGGCGGUACACCUGGCAAACCAUAAUGCAGGUGUCAUAAGGCGAGCUCAGGGAGGACAUAAAGCUCCCACAGAGCAGAAGGGCAAAAGCUUGCUGAUCUCGAUUUUCAGUAUUAAUACAGACCAUGAAGGCGAGGCCUCAGGAUGAAUCCUUCUGACUUUUUGGGUUUCAAGCAGGAGGUGUCAGAAAAGUUACCAUAGGGAUAACUGGCUUGUGGCGGACAAGCGUUCAAAGCGACAUUCCUUUUUGAUCCUUCGAUGUCAUUGUGAAGCAGAAUUCACCAAGCGUUGGAUUGUUCACCCACUAAUAGAGAACGUGAGCUGGGUUUAGACCGUUGUGAGACAGGUUAGUUUUACCCUACUGAUGAUGUGUUGUUGCAAUAGUAAUCCUGCUCAGUGCGAGAGGAACCGUAGGUUCAGAAAAUUGGUGUAUGUGCUUGGCUGAGGAGCCAAUGGGGCGAAGCUACCAUCUGUGGGAUUAUGACUGAAUGCCUGUAAAUCAGAAUUCCCCCCCCCCAACUGUAACGGUACCGCAGCGCUGUGGAGCCUCGGUUGGCCUAGGAUCGCCGGCCUCUGGGCUGGCGCAUAGAGCCGCUCGCCUCAGGACUCGAGUGUGAACAGAAGGGGGCCACCUCUUUCGCCUGUAGUACACUGCAUGUUCAUGAGGAACCUGGUGCUAAAUCAUUCGUAGACAACCUGAUUCUGGGUCAGGGUUUCGUAAGUAGCAAAGCAACUACCUCGCUGCGAUCUACUGAAAGUCCUC